GUUGCUUUGGUCGAGUGGUUAAGGCGUGUGCCUGCUUAGUACAUGGUGUUUCCCCCGCGAGAGUUUGAAUCUCUCAGGCAACG
rfam:Ipomoea nil DNA, scaffold: scaffold1525, cultivar: Tokyo-kokei standard.